UGCCUGGGGUGCAGGAGAGAACAAGACAGACUAUUUAGUGGAGCAGGCUAAUGGUGUUGGGGAGGAAGGGGGCUGAUUCUCACAUCUCAGAACUGCUAAGCCUGCAAAUAUUACUGAAAUCACAUCUGGGAACAAAGCUCUGCUUUAACUAAGUUCACCCAUGAGUGUUGCUAAGCAAUGGAGAAAAGAUGAGGGAAAGGGAGGGUGCCUGACUUUAGGAUUAGGAGGAUGGAUAGAAGAUAAACACAAAGAGAGGUGCUGCAUCCUGGAGCACGGGCACAAGCAUUUGAGCACCAGAACUGCCAACAUCUGUCUCUGGAUUUAACAGCAAGGAAUGAGAGAAGAAGAAAUCUUCCCUAUCAGCAGCAGCAGGGGUUGCUGCAGCAAGAUGAUAAUUCCCUCCUGCUGCUCUGCUGACAAGCACCAAGCUGCACAGGAAGAGCAAAACAUUUUAAUCACAGGAUUGAAAAUGCAGCAGUUCCUAAAGCUUCACCUUACCUUGGCUGAUUUACAUUAAUUUAGGAUCAACUGGCUUUCAGAGGAAUAAUGUUAUCUAUGCAAGAUAACAGAGAAGGAAAAAUUUGGUGGAACUUCAAGUUUUCCUGCGCAUAACAUGCAAGGAACUGAGUAUAUAAACAGUUUUGGAACAUCUUAGAUAAGGAAGGACUAUUGAAUUCCUUAAAAGCACAGUACAAACUUGAGGGCUUCCUAAUUCCAUACUAAAUGUUUUUUAAGUGCCACACUAUCAAAUACACACCAUUAAAAGGAUAAAAAAUACAUUAGCAAUGAGCAAGUUGGGGUCUAAUCCAGUGUCCAUUGGAACCACCAAAAAUCCUGUGACAGAGACCUCAAGGUUCUGGCUCUUUCAUCAGAUUAUCAUUUAUAACAAAGGCACUCCAUAAGGAGCUGCUAAGACAAAUGCAAAUCUUGUGUCAAAGACAGUCAGACACCCCCCCAAAAUUAAAAAUUUGAGCACACAGCAGCUUACAGGCAGCAGCUUUGGGCAUGUGGCACAACAUCUGCUACAAAAACACUAGAAAGCAGACCUGCAGCAAACUGGAGCGGUGCCAGCUCUCAGAUUAUCCCCCCUCCAAGGCUGUCAAGUCAAUGGACAGAUGGCAGCCCGUGCACUCACAGGAUAGUUAGCUCAGUUAACAAUCAAGUAUGCUAAAUGAUUUCAGAUUCACUCUGCACCAAGCAUUGUACUUCCCAGUGAACCAUUAACACUGUGUCCUAAUAGAAAUAUGGUUUGGUAUGAAGGAACUGGCAGAUCCUGUAUUUUACAAGACAGUUUCUCUGGAACAAUUUGUCAGGGAACAUUAGAUCUGCCUUCAUGAAUAAAGUGAGAAUCUGCCAAGUUUGCCAGGCGGGUUUGUUCAUAAUUUUAAUUCUGCAGCAUUUGAAGAGAGAGGAUGGAAACAAACAGGAAGAUGCAGGUCAGUUAUGCACACAAGCUGCUCCCAGGGAUGCACUCAGUGAAAGCAGGAGGGGUGUUAGGAGCACACAGGAUCUCACACCACAGCAGCUGUGCCCCUGCAGUGCUGCCUGCCUGCUGCAGGGCAUCACACAGCUCUCCUGGCCUGGACAGCUAUCACAAGCAGCCUGCUGGGUGACACACUUGUUACCCGAGUGCACAGAUGUGACAACUCAGCUCAGAAUAAGCUAAUGGUUCUUGGGCUUAAAUGGGUAAAAUCUGUAAAGAAAAAUUGACCCGCAUAUAUCAAGGGGACAAAUAAUUCAGUACUGAGCACUAGCCCAUAGCAUAGAGGUGGACUUCUGGCCUCAGCAUUAUAAGAUGCAUCUUUAAAUUCUUCCUCCUUAUGGUUAGAUAUGAUUGUCUUUAAGGAUAUUUGUAGACUUAGUGACAAAUUUAUUCUAUUGAUUUGCUUUUCCAUAAGUCAGCAGGGCAAGAAUAGUGUUUGAAAAAAAAAAAGUUGGUUUCUUCUCCCACCUUCACUCUCUGCUCUUGUUGCAUAUCCCUUUUAUCUGUCCACCCAAAAUCCCAUGUAGCUAAACAGCUGGUCAAAAUGGUAAUAAAAUUAUUUAUUACAUAUUUGGCUCCCACGACCAUUUUAUUCAUCAUUGUUGCACCUAAUAAAUACCCUGAGAAAACACACAACCACCAGCCCUUUUCUGCCUGGAUUGGAAAAAUUCUUCAGCAAAAAGCAGGGGAGAAACCCAAGAAAAACAAGUGGAAAAACACAAGGACAGGGAAGAGAGAGAACUUAGCUCUGUGCAAGGAGGUAGGAGUUGUGCCAUGGAUACCAGAAAAGCAGCACCUCACACUUCUUAUCUGCUAUCUCAGCUCCAAAGAGUAGGACUGAAGCAAACUGGAAAACCUAAAGCAUUUCUAGUGGGCAAUCAGCAAAUGAGUUCCCCACACAGUCAGGUGAGUGCCAGCUGCAGAGCAGCAGCUUCUGACCAGUGCAGGGAAGCCUUGUGCUUUGGACUUACACUCAGAGCUCUUCCAGAGCAGCUGCAUUUCGUGGUGCAGGGCUGCAGAACACCCAGCAAUGUUCUGCAUGCCUGGAUCAGUGAGAGGGCACCAUGCACAGCUCUGCUCACUCUCCUUUCCUGCUCUGACACCAGUUUUCUUCAGAGAUGCUCACAGGGCAUUGUCAAAGUUCUACCAAGAAAAUCAGCAACAGCAGGCAAGAAUUCCUGUUCCUUGCUCUUCCCUUUCCAACACAAGGUGCCACGAAUAUAUUGGAACAGGAGCAAGAACUCUCCCAGAGCAUGGAGCUCCCCAGCUGUGCUCCCUGCAGCUUUCCUCUCUCUUGAGCAGGCAAUGUUGUGACCCUGGUGUGUGAUCACCAGAGCAGGGAGAUGCAAUUUAAAAAAAAUAAAGAGCAAACCAGUCAAAAAUGGAGACACAAGCAACCUCAUUUUCUGGCUCAACUUUAUGAAAAUCUGAUUAGACCUCAGUGAAAUUUAAUCUUUGCCUUCCAGACCUUCUGAGACAACAAUAAAGAUCUCUUGAGCUCAUAAAGUACCCAGAGAGGAGAGAUACCACCCAGCUGUAGGAAAAUAGCUGAGAAAAAUUAUUUUUCUUGGCACUAAUCACCAGGUAAAUCUGAAAAAAAUGUCAUUCAAAAGUAAAUUAUAAAAAGCUACAUAUCACUACUUUCAAAUACAAGAAUACACUUUAUCAGACAAAGUAAUAAAAUAAUAUGAAAAAGACAAGACAAAUUAGCUACAGCAAUAAUUAGGAAUGCCAGACAUUCAGAAGAGAGUAUUUGUUCAAAUUGCUAAGAUAGUCAAGAGACAGAAAAUUUGACUCCCAGAAGUCCCACUGUGCUAACAUUUCUUUUUCCUUUUUUCCUACUACAAAUUUACAGCAAAAACAAAGCAACCUACCAGACAUAUUUUUAUAUUAUCAGCCCUUCCCCAGAACAAUUCUGCUUCAAAACUACUCAUUAAGCUGGAACUGGCAAAACCCAAAGUUCCAGUCUUUUAUUCUCAGCCAGAGGAUUCACAUUUCCCCAUGUCCUUGUAGCAGCUGUUCCUACGUUGCCCCAUGAGACAAAGAAAUAUGGGAAUUUUUUGACUUUCCUCGAAAUAUUUUUUACUUUUAUGGAUAGAUAAUACAUGGAGUCAUUAGCCACAAGAGGCCACACAAAUACUGCUACCUGGAUGUGCUCAGCACAGAUCUAAGAAAGCUCUCACUGCAGCAAGUGCUGAUUUUUGGGGGUCACUCCCCUCUGCCAGCUCAGCAGUGGCACCAAAAGAAGCCUUUCUGUGCAUCUGUGGAGGAAUAUUUGCCAAGGGUUUGAUCUUGGCCCCUUGGUUUGUGCCUACAGUGCCCAGGAUUCCCAGGGGGUCUCACAGCCAAACCUUUCCUACUUUGGGGAUGCUGAGCCCACCACAAGCCAUGUUCUGCUGUCACAGUGUAAAACCAGAAAAUCCUACAACACUGAUGUUUCUUGGAUUCUUCCAAUGCUCUGCUUACAGUCCAACAAGAUCAGCUUUUGCAGCUUGCAGGAAAGAAAGCAAGCAAUUCUUACCAAAGCACAGCAAUCUGGGAAAUUAAAAAAGAAAAGGAAAAACCAGAUAUGAAUGGGUGGUAAAAUUGUAUUUCCAAUCUUCUCCUCUAAUAAUGCAGUACAGCAGCCAUCUCCAACUCAUCAUACCAGACAAAGUGAUAUGUGCAGGAAAUGUUAAAUAUUAAGGAAACAAAUGGAUGCUAAAAAAAUCCUAAACUAUGGGUGUGCAGAGCCAAAAUAAUUGAGGACGAUGUGCAUGUACUAAAUAGAGUUAAAAACUAGAGCAUGAUAGAUAUAUUUAUAUGUGUGUGCAUAUAUAUAUCUAUCAAUCAUCUAGGAACUCAAUUUAAUUUUUGCAUGCACUGAUUCCCCAUGUCCUUAUUGUUGCUUAUAGAAUCCUUCACUAAUUCUAUGUUUUGUACAGCCAUGCAACAAAAACAUGGUUAUGUUGUAUAUAGUCACACAGCAGAAUGUCUGUGGAAUAAAGUUCUCAUUAAAAUCCUAUUUUAAUCAUGCAAUUAAAAAGUCUACAGUAAUAUUGCAAUUACAAUACUUUUAAAAUGCAUCUGUGCAGAAAGCUAGAAGACUAGAAUGGAUAUAGUAUUCUGAUCUCCCACUGUACAAAUGCACAAUAAUUCUCAAUCUGUUCUUGCCUGGGCAAGUCAGAGUGUGUGCAACAGUCAAGAUUAAUUAGAAGGAACACGUGUUCCUCAUGAAUGAUGCCAUGUCUAGUACUAUAUGCAAAUUAAUUCAUGUCAGCAUGGGCCAUGUUUUAUCAUGAUUUUUCCUUUCUUUUUGAAAAAGGAGGUACAAUUUUUUGACUGCAACUAUUGUACAUUGUUGAUUUUACAAGAGCUGUAGAGAGAUUUUAUAAAAAUAAAACAUUGGGCAA